rnacentral:rRNA from 1 species
CAAUAGCGUAUAUUAAAGUUGUUGCAGUUAGAACGCUCGUAGUCGGAUUUCGGGGCGGGGCGACCGGUCUGCCGGUGGGUAUGCACUGGUCGGCGCGUCCUUCCUUCCGGAGGCCGUUCCUACUCUUAACUGAGCGGGGGCGGGAGACGGAUCGUUUACUUUGAAAAAAUCAGAGUGUUUCAAGCAGGCAGCUCGCUCUUGCAUGGAUUAGCAUGGGAUAAUGAAAUAGGACUUUGGUGCUAUUUUGUUGGUUUCGAACACCGAAGUAAUGAUUAAAAGGGACAGUCAGGGGCACUCGUAUUCCGCCGGGAGAGGUGAAAUUCUCAGGCCAGCGGAAGACGAACCGCUGCGAAAGCAUUUGCCAGGGAUGUUUUCGCUGA